CUAUAUAAGUGGCAAAUUUUAUGAAAGUAAAAGACGCAAAGCUGCGGGCCUAAGGCUUUUGCUAUGGCAGCCGGGCUGCUUGC
rfam:Bacillus infantis NRRL B-14911, complete genome.